rnacentral:rRNA from 1 species
UACGUAGGGUGCGAGCGUUGCCCGGAUUUAUUGGGCGUAAAGGGCUCGUAGGCGGCCAACUAAGUCAGACGUGAAAUCCCUCGGCUUAACCGGGGAACUGCGUCUGAUACUGGAUGGCUUGAGUUUGGGAGAGGGAUGCGGAAUUCCAGGUGUAGCGGUGAAAUGCGUAGAUAUCUGGAGGAACACCGGUGGCGAAGGCGGCAUCCUGGACCAACACUGACGCUGAGUGAGCGAAAGCCAGGGGAGCAAACGGG